GACGAACGCUGGCGGCGUGCUUAACACAUGCAAGUCGAACGGAAAGGCCCUGCUUUUGUGGGGUGCUCGAGUGGCGAACGGGUGAGUAACACGUGAGUAACCUGCCCUUGACUUUGGGAUAACUUCAGGAAACUGGGGCUAAUACCGGAUAGGAGCUCCUGCUGCAUGGUGGGGGUUGGACAGUUUCGGCGGUUGGGGAUGGACUGGCGGCUUAUCAGAUUGUUGGUGGGGUAGUGGCUUACCAAGGCUUUGACGGGUAGCCGGCCUGAGAGGGUGACCGGCCACAUUGGGACGGAGAUACGGCCCAGACUCCUACGGGAGGCAGCAGUGGGGAAUAUUGCACAAUGGGCGGAAGCCUGAUGCAGCACCGCCGCGUGCGGGAUGACGGCCUUCGGGUUGUAAACCGCUUUCGCCUGUGACGAAGCGUGAGUGACGGUAAUGGGUAAAGAAGCACCGGCUAACUACGUG
rnacentral:rRNA from 1 species